CGGAGGAAAAGAAACCAACUGGGAUUACCUUAGUAACGGCGAGUGAAGCGGUAAAAGCUCAAAUUUGAAAUCUGGUACUUUCAGUGCCCGAGUUGUAAUUUGUAGAAUUUGUCUUUGAUUAGGUCCUUGUCUAUGUUCCUUGGAACAGGACGUCAUAGAGGGUGAGAAUCCCGUUUGGCGAGGAUACCUUUUCUCUGUAAGACUUUUUCGAAGAGUCGAGUUGUUUGGGAAUGCAGCUCAAAGUGGGUGGUAAAUUCCAUCUAAAGCUAAAUAUUGGCGAGAGACCGAUAGCGAACAAGUACAGUGAUGGAAAGAUGAAAAGAACUUUGAAAAGAGAGUGAAAAAGUACGUGAAAUUGUUGAAAGGGAAGGGCAUUUGAUCAGACAUGGUGUUUUUUGCAUGCACUCGCCUCUCGUGGGCUUGGGCCUCUCAAAAAUUUCACUGGGCCAACAUCAAUUCUGGCAGCAGGAUAAAUCAUUAAGAAUGUAGCUACUUCGGUAGUGUUAUAGCUUUUUGGAAUACUGUUAGCCGGGAUUGAGGACUGCGCUUCGGCAAGGAUGUUGGCAUAAUGGUUAAAUGCCGCCCGUCUGA
rnacentral:rRNA from 1 species